UACGGAGGGUGCAAGCGUUAUCCGGAUUCACUGGGUUUAAAGGGUGCGUAGGCGGGCAGGUAAGUCCGUGGUGAAAUCUCUGAGCUUAACUCAGAAACUGCCAUGGAUACUAUUUGUCUUGAAUAUUGUGGAGGUAAGCGGAAUAUGUCAUGUAGCGGUGAAAUGCUUAGAUAUGGCAUAGAACACCAAUUGCGAAGGCAGCUUACUACACAGUUAUUGACACUGAGGCUCGAAAGCGUGGGGAUCAAACAGG
rnacentral:rRNA from 1 species